CACCGGAGAGAUCACUACGGGACAAGCUAAAAGCAGCGACAUUGCCGCAAAAAUCAAGAAAGGCGAAGUGGGAGGAUUGUUCAAUCUGAAAGGAGUAGAGAAAAUACGUGAAGUACAGAAACAAGCUGUGGAAGAUUCCCGGCUGGGUAUUCCGUUAUUGUUCGGGAUGGACGUUAUUCACGGAUACGAAACGAUGUUCCCUAUCCCGCUCGGUUUGUCUUGCACCUGGGACAUGACAGCCAUUGAAGAGUCUGCCCGCAUUGCGGCUGUAGAAGCGAGCGCCGAUGGGAUCUCAUGGACUUUCAGCCCGAUGGUGGAUAUUUCACGUGACCCUCGUUGGGGACGCGUAUCCGAAGGUAGUGGCGAAGACCCGUUUCUCGGUGCCAUGAUUGCCGAAGCGAUGGUGCGCGGCUAUCAGCCAGCAGCCGCGGUAAAACGUAGGGUGCAAGCGUUGUCCGGAAUUACUGGGUGUAAAGGGAGCGCAGGCGGGAAGACAAGUUGGAAGUGAAAACCAUGGGCUCAACCCAUGAAUUGCUUUCAAAACUGUUUUUCUUGAGUAGUGCAGAGGUAGAUGGAAUUCCCGGUGUAGCGGUGGAAUGCGUAGAUAUCGGGAGGAACACCAGUGGCGAAGGCGGUCUACUGGGCACCAACUGACGCUGAGGCUCGAAAGCAUGGGUAGCAAACAGGAUUAGAUACCCUGGUAGUCCAUGCCGUAAACGAUGAUUACUAGGUGUUGGGGGAUUGACCCCCUCAGUGCCGCAGUUAACACAAUAAGUAAUCCACCUGGGGAGUACGACCGCAAGGUUGAAACUCAAAGGAAUUGACGGGGGCCCGCACAAGCAGUGGAGUAUGUGGUUUAAUUCGACGCAACGCGAAGAACCUUACCAAGUCUUGACAUCCUGCGACGGUGCUGGAAACAGUACUUUCCUUCGGGACGCAGAGACAGGUGGUGCAUGGUUGUCGUCAGCUCGUGUCGUGAGAUGUUGGGUUAAGUCCCGCAACGAGCGCAACCCUUAUGGUCAGUUACUACGCAAGAGGACUCUGGCCAGACUGCCGUUGACAAAACGGAGGAAGGUGGGGAUGACGUCAAAUCAUCAUGCCCUUUAUGACUUGGGCUACACACGUACUACAAUGGCGUUAAACAAAGAGAAGCAAGACCGCGAGGUGGAGCAAAACUCAGAAACAACGUCCCAGUUCGGACUGCAGGCUGCAACUCGCCUGCACGAAGUCGGAAUUGCUAGUAAUCGUGGAUCAGCAUGCCACGGUGAAUACGUUCCCGGGCCUUGUACACACCGCCCGUCACACCAUGAGAGCCGGGGGGACCCGAAGUCGGUAGUCUAACCGCAAGGAGGACGCCGCCGAAGGUAAAACUGGUGAUUGGGGUGAAGUCGUAACAAGGUAGCCGUAGGAGAACCUGCGGCUG
rnacentral:rRNA from 1 species